UUGAGGCUUGGGAUAUUUAGGGUGCUUUUCUACUACAGUAAAAUGGACUUAGUGUUCCCCAGUAGGCUGGUUUUUCUUCAUGUUUUCUACUGUCUCUGUAAAGUAGUUUUAGAGACUCUAUGAGCUAGUUACAUUGGUGGUGCUUUCUCAGUACAGUAGAACCCUGGUGGUACUACUUCACUGGAAAGUAGUUUAGCAGUGACCGAAGUUCAUAAGCUGACAGCUUCCUUCCCAGCCCUAAAAAACAAACAAGCGACAACAAAAGUAAAACAACCACAGAAGCUGAAGUGCAUGCAGAUGCUUACACCUUUGAAGGGAAAACUUUAAACCUGAGAAGCAACAGGUAUAUGUUUUCAAUCUUGCCUUAAACAUAUAGCAAGAGUAGCUGUAAGCAAUUCAUGUCUUUUUCCCAUUGAAGAAAAAAGAAAUCAAGAUCAAAUCCAAACAAAAUGAACAAGACUUUCUAGGAUGGAGUAAUAUAACCAUAUGACUACAGCGGUAUUGUCUUUCAGAUUUUUCAGUGGAGUCAGCGCAAAUAGUAUUUGACUGUGAUAGCAAUACAGUUUUUUAAUCUCAUCAUGAUGUAGCUGUCGUAAAGUGAGAUUUGGUAACACUACAUGUCUAUAUGCAGCUUUAUUCUUGUUUCGGGGAGAAGUGUGAAGAGAUUCUGAUUCUCAUUUCUCUUUAAAGAGAAAAGACUUCACAUUUUCAUUUCCUGAAGCCAAAGGCAGUUUAAUUUUCUUGAGUGACCAUAAAUUCCAGUCGGAUAGUUUCUGUUUACAACCCAUUCUCCAACUUCAGAGCUGUUAUGAGGUAUAACGUUAUCCUUAAAUAAGCAAUAUUCAUUUUAAGCUAUGUCAAUGCAGAUUGUGCUUAGUUUACACCAUGCUGAGUGAAAUGACCUCAUUGUAAUACUUGUGCUUCAGAGGAUGGGUAUAUUUCUUUCCUAUUAAGAAAGGACACAAAAAAUCACAACUACUGUUUCAACAAUAUCAAAAAUAUUUGAAAUGGAAUACAGAACAGGAAUUCAGAGGGCAUAAAAGUACAUAAUGUGAAAAGAAAAUUAAGUGUUUACAUAACGACAAGACACAAGUCAGAGGAUUGACUGGGUGAAAAACAAAAAUCAAUAAGGUUCUAUAAAUUUACUUUACGAUUUGCUUCUAUUUGAUACUGAUGAAUGAAUUACCUGGAAUUUAAGCUUCCAGUUGAAUUUUUAACCAGGCAUUUAGGUAUCUGCAAAUACAUAAGUACUUGCGUUUAUCAAGAUCUGUUUUCCUUUUCCAAUUAUAAUGAUAUUAGAGAUGUUUUAGACAAAAAUAAAUUAUAGAAUCCUUUUCUAAAGGAUGCAAAAUCUUGUCUGAAUGACAGAGUUAUAGUGCUCUAAUCUCUCCGAAGAGAAAGCUCAUUAAGAACAGUAGACUUAAGAAGAAGAGAUGAAAGAUAAAAUGCAAAGUGUAGUCUGACAAGAUGACAGGUGUUUGUGGAGUCUGUCAAAUAGUAAGCAUUUUUAGGAAGGUAUGAGACAAUUUAUCUAUAAAUAUAUUAACACAUAUUUAUCUAAGUAUUUUACAGUCCAAGGCAAUAAUUAUGUAGUGAUGUGAACUGUUAAUUUAUGAUCUAUUAAAAAUAAAGUGUUUGAAUAAGUAUAUUUACACUUUAAUUC